UAUAUAAUUGGUAUAAUUACUGUGUUUGAAUACUAUAGCAUGGAAUAACAACAUUGAAUAGGUCAAAAAUUUUUGAAAAUUUUUCUUGUUUUGGCUUAGAUACAGAAUUGGAGGGCAAGUCUGGUGCCAGCAGCCGCGGUAAUUCCAGCUCCAAUAGCGUAUAUUAAAAUUGUUGCAGUUAAAACGCUCGUAGUUAAAUUUCAUAGGAUUAAAAUAUUGUAAGUAACGUGCUUGGCGAGAUUCAUCGUGACUCUGUCAUUGUACUCUGCCUCGCCGUACUUUUAAUUAUAGAUUCCUUUGAGAGCCUAAUGUGAAUCAUCACAGGGCUCCAGUUACUUUGAGUAAAUUAGAGUGUUUAAAGCAAAUAUAUAUAAUUGGUAUAAUUACUGUGUUUGAAUACUAUAGCAUGGAAUAACAACAUUGAAUAGGUCAAAAAUUUUUGAAAAUUUUUCUUGUUUUGGCUUAGAUACAGUUAAUAGGAGUAGAUUGGAGGCAUUUGUAUUCAGAUGCUAGAGGUGAAAUUCUUAGAUUUUCUGGAGACAAACAACUGCGAAAGCAUUUGCCUAAAAUACUUCCAUUAAUCAAGAACGAAAGUUAAGGGAGUGAAGACGAUCAGAUACCGUCGUAAUCUUAACCAUAAACUAUGCCGACUAAGUGUUGGAUGAAAAUUUAUAAAUAAAACUAUCUUCUUUAAAGGAAUAGUUUUUUAGAUGCUUCCUUCAGUACCUUAUGAGAAAUCAAAGUCUUUGGGUUCUGGGGCGAGUAUUCGC
rnacentral:rRNA from 1 species